GAACCAAUCUGGUAUGCAGAAGCAAUUACUUCUAUAAAUGUUCCUAGACUACCCGGCUCCAGGAGGCUUCAAAAGGGGCAAAUCCAUCGUGUGCGUUGAAACUGGCAGCGACAGUAAUUUUCGACGCCCGCUUUGGACGUCAGCCGUUGGAUGGUGUCAAUGUUUUUGUUACCUGCCGUUUCUGUAGAUAGGUCGCUGACAACUAGGAUCAGGCGCGUGCGGGGCCGGGCGAACAUAGGCAGCGAUGAGUGACCCUGCUCGUUUCACCCAAACCACUCCCCCAAUCAGUGGCGUCCUCUCGUCCCCAAUCCGCCGCCCUCCUCUCCUCACCCAAUCUCCACCUCGUGUCCCCUCUCCUCUCCUCUAGAUCCCGACCCGAACCCAACCCAGGCCAGGAGCGCGGUGGCGGCGGCGACUACCCCGACCCAAAGCGCGGCAGCGGCGGCCACGUGCGGCCGCUUGUCGUCAGCGGCGGCGACUAGGGUUGCUGGCCUCAAAACCCUAGCCGCUGCCUUUGCCUCGUCGUCCCUGUUCUCCUCGAGGAGGAGCUGGUCUGGAGGCGCUCAAGGAGCUCGAGCUCCGCCGUGCGUCCCCGGCUCCAUGGAGACCAGCAGAAGCGGCGCUCGACUGCAGCUCUGCCCCGACCCCGAUCCAGGGCAGCCCGGGAAGCCCCACGGCCUCCUCUACUGGAGUAGGCCGACGCCCAUGAGCAGCGUGGGUUAGGGACCUCGACGUUGGCCUCUACAUCGAGCAGGCGACCUCGACAUCUAGCAGCGAGCACCAGUUCCGAUCAGUCAGGACUAGAUGCGAUGCAUCUGCCGUCUCUGUUGCCCAGCCGGGUGCCAAAUGGCUCCACGGGGCAGCAUUUUGUGAGGUGACGUUGAUGCUUGCCCUUCUCUUGGAGAAUACUUGAUAAUUUCCUAAUCCCCUAAACAUGCCUUGGCAUUGGAUGGAUCAAGGAGCAGGUUACAGUUUAUGUUUUUGGUCAAAGUUUCCUCUAUUUUUCUGCUCUUAGCCUCUAUUACAGUCUGUUCUAUCUUGCUACACAUUGGAUCCUGCUGCAGUUGUAUUUACUAUUUACUAUUAUAUAAAAAUCAGCCAUGUGCAAGCAACGGAGCUUAAUUUGUACAGUUGGCCAUAUCGACUACUGAGAAGGCUCAGUUGGUGUUGGAUGUGAUGUCUUGGUGGGAUAUGUUUUUCUAUUGGAUGCCUACAGUAACUACAGGAUGCAAGAAGAACUUUGCAGGCAGUCCGGGGACUCUAUCACGAGUUGCUCAAUGUAACCUUCGCAAUGGGCGGUGGCUGCAGCACGGUGAAACAAUUCUGGUCCACUCUCUCGAGUGGCUCGACGUGCCCUUCGCAAUCAGUGGAAGCUGCUGCAUGCCAAAAAGAAGACAAGGUCAAGUGGAACUGACUCUGGCGAGGAGUAUAUGUGAAAGAUAGACUUGACUUUACAUUAGGCCAUUGAUCAAAUAACAUCUUCGUUUGGGAGGGGAGCAAUAAUGUGGCUUGGCUGCUCUGAAAGUCACAGAGAAGUACCUGUUGUGUCUACUGGGUCUUUCUCUCUGGAUCUUGCACUAGGGAUCAGUAGGCUUCCAAAGGAAGUUAGAUGUGUUAGCUAUCACCACCAGUACAAUUGGCAUGGUGGCUGCAGAAUCAAGGGCCAUAAGGGAGCCUCGUGUUGUUCAGAAGACAACCAAGGUUGGCAUCUUUUUAAUUCUUAUCGUUGGUGCAAGUAAGGUCAGAAGGAUGCUAAAGGAAAUCCAAAUCCAAGUAGGCAAGCAUGUGGAAAGGGCGUCAUAUGAUGUGAACUCUGUUAUCAUGACAAAGAGGGAAGGGCACAACCAUGAAGUUCGAGCAGCCAGAAAUAGCGGGCAUGUGAGCGAUGGUUCUGGGAGUGCUCUCAGAGGCCAACUGGAGUCAUUCAACUUCCUCUUCAGGAAUGGCAGACUACGAUCUGCCUUGCCACCUGCAAAUGCAGCAUGGCUAGCUAACCGAUUGAUGAUUUGGUAUAUUACGAGUUAGGCCCAGUUUAUCACUUUCUUCCAGUUUAUGGCCUCUUUGUGAUGCCUUUUUCCUUUGCCUGCUAUAAUUUAUGUGUUAAUACUCUACUGGUUCAUUAUACUCCAAUCUAGAGGUUUUCCAAUACUGCGAUGGAGUUCAUUUUCAGAAUCUUGUUAUGUUAAGGAAAAACAAUGUAGUUUACACAGUUCAGAAAUUCUCAAUUUGCAUAAAAUAUAUUAUGUGUUACUUGCGAAACUAA